rnacentral:rRNA from 1 species
CAAAAAGUAAAAUAUUUAGGUAGUAUUAGAUGGCUUGAAACUUAAAAAUUUUGGCGGUGUUUUAAUCUUAUCAGAGGAACCUGUUUUAUAAUCGAUAAUACACGGCAAAUCUCACUUAAAUAAAUAGUUUGUAUAUCGUUGUGAUAAUAAUGUUUUAUAAUUAUUAUUGAAGAUAAUUUUAUUUUUAAUAUCAAAUCAAGGUUCAGCUUAUGUUUAAGUAAGGAAUGGGUUACAAUGUGAUAACACAUUACAGAUUUUGUCUCUAAGAAAUAAAUGAAGGGGGAUUUGAAAGUAUUUUUAUAUUAAUUUAUUAAAUUGAAUUAGCUCUAAAACAUGC